UCUCGAUAAAACAAAACAAAUUAAGAAACCAAACCACAAAGGCAGACUGGCACCGGACAGGUAAUCAGCACAGAGGUGACCCUUCCGGCCUGGGCAGUGCGACCCUGGGUGGCACGGGCGGAUGCUGGGAGGCCCGGUCCCGACCCCACUCCGCGGGGCCUCUCCGGACAGCCCUCCUCUGCGCCGUGGCCGGUCCUGCAGCCCCCAACUCCCUUCCGCCCUAACCGGCCGACCCGCCCUCUCCUCCCGGCCACCCGGGGCCUCCGCCCUUCACGGAAGACAGGUGCUGCCCAGCGGCUGCCCAGCCUCCUCUGCCAGCUCCACAGCCUUCGCCUUAGGCAGCCGCGGGCCGUGGCCAACCCCGCCCUCGCGCGCCCCCCAGCGGCGGAGCAGGGCAGCGGGCCCAGGGCCUCAAGGCUGCCGGGGCGCCAAGCCCAGCUCCAGGGUGGGGCAGACCGAGAAGGCCUGCAGGCGGAAUUCCUGCAGAAAGUGAAACCCUGUUUUGUGUUCCCUUAACAACACAGUAGAGGCUGCAGCCGCGGGUGGUGGUGCAGGCAUGUAAUCCCAGCACUCCGGAGGCUGAGACAGGAGGAUGGCCCUGAGUGUGAGGCCAGCCGCAGCUACACAGCAAGACUCUGAAAAAAAAAAAAAAAAUCUGGCAAAUUUUGUACGGAGGAGUUUAUUUAGUUCACAAUCGAGGUGCCCAAGGACCGCUCCGAGGAUCCCUGGCAGAGCCUCAGGAUGGCAUGGGCAGUGCCCGCUCCGGCUUGCAGUCCGGGACAACCCUUGGCCACGCUGGGGACUCUGUGGGCUGUGACUGCCCUCCCCUGCUGCGCUGGGAGCAGCGGGCAGGGACGCAAAGGGUCCCCGCGGAAAGCGCCGCCUCUCCUUCCUUGCGUGAAACCCGCGUCCGGCCUGUGCAGACGGGGAAGGCCGAGCAGAGCGGAGGCUGGGAAGCAGCGCGAGCCGGAGGACGAGGACAUGGGCAGCGCUCAGCGAGGGCACUCAAGGGCCCGACCCCAGCACAGGCUGCAGGGACGGCAGCGGGUCAGGACGCAGAAAGCUGAGGGAGCUGCGCGGCUAGAUCCCCGCUCCGCCCCGCCCCACCCUCCAUCCAGACAGGAAAAGCCUCCACCUGAUUUUGCACGAUUUGCACGUUAAUACCGGGAAUCGAACUCAACCUCGUGCUUACCAGGCAGGCGCUGUGCCACUGAGCUAAAUCCCCAGUCCCUCAGCCUAAUUCUUACAAUCACUUUGCAAUUUCCAUCCCAAAUGAUUUCUGAACACCUGUUCACACCGAAAUAAAAGUGAACGACAAACAUGAUUUAAAUUUGGUUGAGAAAGGUCAUGGGGAAAGAUAUUAAUAUUACUUUGGCAUUUCUAUUUCCUAGGCCUCAAGAAAUGAUAACUAAAGUUCGUCUGGAAAUUAACUUAAAAGGUUACAUCUUCAGGCAAGAAAACGUUUCUCAAUACUUGUGACAGUCAGAUAAUUCAAGGAACAGGUUCCCAGUAAAUGAACACGAACAAAAACCGCUAUUCCAGAAGAGAAAGUUCUCUGGAGCAGACUCCAACAAUAUGGAGAACGCAGUUUCUCCUUACAAAGGUAGCUGUGUUUUCACAUUUAAUAAGCAUAUUGCUGACCUCUGGGAAGGAAGACUGACCUUGUUAGUUAACAGAAGUAUAGGGGCACUAGAUUCGGAAAAGGAAGUAUCAGACAUGAAGCACAUGAACCUUUGCUUGUUCCUCCAGAGAUGAUGAAAGCGUCACCUUCCCAGGACAGACUCGGGGCCUCUGGCUCCUAACUGGGGGGCCGGGGGGGGGGAGCACGAUUUUCUGAUGGCACCACUGGGAGCCUGAAGGCUCUAGGCUACUUUAAUUGUUUUUAUUUUGUAAAGCAUCGCUUUUGUUGUUUAAUCUAACUUUUUAAGGCAAAUGAAAAACGGGUCUGUCUCAAGCACCCUUCUGCAGUCAGAAAAGUUCUUUUCAGGAAGAUGUCUCCUUAAAAAAAAAAAAAAA